UUAACUUCGCUAAGAAUUUAUUUUUGAAUGCGAUGACGGAUAAUAUUUAUUUCAAAUUACUUACAUACUUACAUGAAAGGACCGGCGAACGAGACCAUAACCAUAUCGUAAUUCACGAUUUACUUAUUCUAACAUUCUUAUAUGAUAUUAUAUAAAGUACAGAUUAGACGAACGGAUAAGAUAGCGGAAGCUAACUACUAUCUACUCGACGAAUACAUGAUUCAUGUCGAACGAUAUUAUCAAAAAGGAGAGUGGUCUAAUGGUGAAGUCGCAAAAAAAAGAAUUUACUUGGCAAUCGAUGAUCCUGAGAUAUUUGCUGAAGCUUUUAUCAAGUAUCCGGAUUAGGAAAUAAUCGUGAUCCAAAAGUGUCUAAAACCGCAACCGUUAUGACGCUAACAUAGGCAUUAUCGGCAUUACCAUCGAUGUCCAUUUCUUAUCGAUUUGCGAUCAUAUUGUAUGUACAUUUACAUCAAACGUGUGCCAGAUGGCAUUCGAGAUGAUGAAAAGUUUGCGCGGAGACGCAUCGACCCGCUGCAGCACUUUAGACAGCUUCUACAACUUUGCGUCUUUCAGUCUUAUGUUAAACGAAGCGGUAAUGUCUCACGAAACGGACAACAGUAAGAAUAUCGAACUGCUGACUGGUGACGUUGUUUUGCCGGCUGAAAAUUAUUGGAACGGUUCUACAAUCGGAGUAAAUUCAAGAACACGAGCCAGAGGUUUCUCCAAAAAUCGAUACGGCCAAUUUCACUCUUGUCUGUGCAACGUGAAAUCGUAUUCAGUAUAUGGUAUAAUGCUAUGUGGCGCAAAACCUAACCGAAAUCAGCAUCAAAACAGUACCUACAUGUGUUUAUAAACCGACAGUGUAAUAGUUUAGAUUCAGUGAAGUAUCGAUUUAAUUAAAACCAC